GGAUGAAGAACGCAGCGAAAUGCGAUAAGUAAUGUGAAUUGCAGAAUUCAGUGAAUCAUCGAAUCUUUGAACGCACCUUGCACUCCUUGGUAUUCCGAGGAGUACGCCUGUUCGAGUGUUAUGAAGCUCUCAAAACGCAAUUGGCUUAAAACCUGAUUGUUGUUUUGGAUUUGAACUUUGCCGUGUUAUAACGGCUGGUUUUAAAAGUAUUAGCUGGUACUAGAACGAAUUGGUUCUACUCAACGUGAUAAUUAUCUGAUCGUUGAGGACAUUCCUUUCACGAGGAAUGGCCAUAGUAAAUUCAAUGGACUGCUUCUAAUCUGGCUUUAAUUCUUUAUUGGAUUAACCACUUUUCAAAUCUGACCUCGAAUCAGGUGGGACUACCCGCUGAACUUAAGCAUAUCAAUAAGCGGAGGA
rnacentral:misc_RNA from 1 species